CCUACGUGAGGCAGCAGUGAGGAAUAUUGGUCAAUGGGCGGAAGCCUGAACCAGCCAAGUAGCGUGCAGGAUGACGGCCCUACGGGUUGUAAACUGCUUUUAUACGGGAAUAACGCGCCUUACGUGUAGGGCUUUGCAUGUACCUUAUGAAUAAGGACCGGCUAAUUCCGUGCCAGCAGCCGCGGUAAUACGGCGGGUCCGGGCGUUAUCCGGAUUUAUUGGGUUUAAAGGGAGCGUCGGCCGCAUGUCAAGCGUGCUGUGAAAUGUCCGGGCUCAACCCGGGCCGUGCAGCGCGAACUGGCGUGCUCGAGUUGGCGGAAAGCAGGCGGAAUGCGUGGUGUAGCGGUGAAAUGCUUAGAUAUGACGAAGAACCCCGAUUGCGAAGGCAGCUUGCUGCAGCGGAACUGACGCUGAUGCUCGAAAGCGCGGGUAUCGAACAGGAUUAGAUACCCUUGUAGUC
rnacentral:rRNA from 1 species